UGAAAAUACUUGUUUACUCAAAAGAAGUUAAAUAUGAGACAAAAAUGAGAUGGUUAGAAUUGAUAAAGAACUAUGACUGUACGAUUAACUAUCACACAGGGAAAGCAAAUUUAGUUGAUGAUGCAUUAAGUAGAAAAGAAAGAGUUAAUGUUAUGUCGUUACCACAUGAAUUGAUUCGAGAAAUGGAAAAGCUAGGAUUAGAAGUUAAGAAUUUAAAGCAUAAGGAGGGAAGGAUUUAUGAGACGUUAGUGCAACCAGAGUUGUUUAGCACCAAUCGGGAUUCCGAGGACGGAAUCCUAUAAGGAGGGAAGAGUGUAACACCCGUGAAAUUUACAAGUAUGAUUAUUUAAUUUAAUUAUUUAUUGUGCAAAAAGGACUAUUUUAUUAGUCUCGGAUUUAAUAAGAUUUAUAAUGCGGGAAAUAUUAAGGUCGUAGUUUUAAGAAUUCUAGAAAACACGUAAUAUUAUUUGGUGUGGGCCUGUCGUUAAUUUAAAUAUGUAUAUUAACGCGAUAGCUGCGUUCAUAUGAAAGGUAUAGUAGACAUGAAUAUUUAUUUAAUGACUUGUGAAUAAAUAUUACGUUUUAGCCAAGAUGAUUAUUUCUAUUAUUUUAUAAAUUUGGGGAUUGAUUAGAAAAUAUUAAAAUAGUUAAUAAUAUACUUAUUUAAUUAUUUUGUACAAAGAUUUAAUUAUUUCAUAUUCACAAUUAUGAAAAGUAUAAAUGAAGUGGGAAUUAUUAAUAGUGAGACGGAACUUAGGGAACAAGUUACGAAACUUGGAACGCAAGCAUAAUCACUUGGUGCCCAAGUCUCGAUACUUGGCGGCCAAGCAAAGUGCAUAGUUAAAAAUUAAUUAAUGGAUAUUAGGAGUAAUCGCAAUUAAGGGGAGCUCUAUAAAAACCCAACUUUGGGGUGCCUAGAGUUUUGUUGGAUAAAAGAAGUUAAAAAGUGAGCCGAGGAGAAGAAAACAAGUGAAGAAAGUCCGGCAGAAAGAAAGCUUUGGGAGAUUAAAAGGAAAAGAGAAUUAAAACAACUUAAAAGAGAAGAUUGAUUAUCUGGAAGGCGAGAUUGAGUAAUCAACUUAAACUGGAACGUGGUGCACUGGAAGAAUUCUGGAGAAGGAUAUUCAGGCAAGAGUAAAAGUGUGAUGAACCGAAGUGCUAGACUUGAUUGGAUUUGCAAGUAGAAGUUUAGGAGAAGUAUUAUGUAAUCGAAAGAAAUAUUUGUGAACUUUUAGAAGAGUGAUGUAAGACUCUGAUGUAAGGUAAAAUAUGCCUUUAAGUUAUGUUAAAGUUUGAGAUUAUGAAGAUGUAUUUCGGUGUGUUCAGUAGAAUGACACCCCGGGUCGUGUUGCUGAGGUCAUCCCGGGCCGGGGCGUCACACUUAUGAUGGAUUUGUGGAUUAUCCAAAUUCUUGUAUUCGGACCAGUAUAAUUCGACUUAUUUUUAAAUUCGAAA